GAUGAACGCUGGCGGCGUGCUUAACACAUGCAAGUCGAACGGAAAGGCCCUGCUUUUGUGGGGUGCUCGAGUGGCGAACGGGUGAGUAACACGUGAGUAACCUGCCCUUGACUUUGGGAUAUCUUCAGGAAACUGGGGCUAAUACCGGAUAGGAGCUCCUGCUGCAUGGUGGGGGUUGGAAAGUUUCGGCGGUUGGGGAUGGACUCGCGGCUUAUCAGCUUGUUGGUGGGGUAGUGGCUUACCAAGGCUUUGACGGGUAGCCGGCCUGAGAGGGUGACCGGCCACAUUGGGACUGAGAUACGGCCCAGACUCCUACGGGAGGCAGCAGUGGGGAAUAUUGCACAAUGGGCGGAAGCCUGAUGCAGCAACGCCGCGUGCGGGAUGACGGCCUUCGGGUUGUAAACCGCUUUCGCCUGUGACGAAGCGUGAGUGACGGUAAUGGGUAAAGAAGCACCGGCUAACUACGUG
rnacentral:rRNA from 1 species